rnacentral:rRNA from 1 species
GAUGAACGCUAGCGGCAGGCCUAACACAUGCAAGUCGAGGGGCAUCGCGGUGCAGCAAUGCACUGGCAGCGACCGGCGUACGGGUGCGUAACGCGUAUGCAACCUGCCCCGCACCGGGGGAUAGCCCGCCGAAAGGCGGAUUAAUACCCCAUGGUCCCGGGGGCCCGCAUGGGCAUCCGGGUAAAGGCCUUGGCGGUGCGGGAUGGGCAUGCGUGCCAUUAGCUGGCUGGUGGGGUAACGGCCCACCAGGGCAACGAUGGCUAGGGGGUCUGAGAGGAUGGUCCCCCACACUGGUACUGAGACACGGACCAGACUCCUACGGGAGGCAGCAGUGAGGAAUAUUGGUCAAUGGGCGGAAGCCUGAACCAGCCAUGCCGCGUGCGGGAUGAAGGCCCUACGGGUUGUAAACCGCUUUUCCCCGGGAAGAAUAAGCCCCCGCGGGGUGAUGCCGGUACCGGGGAAUAAGGAUCGGCUAACUCCGUGCCAGCAGCCGCGGUAAUACGUCUA